AAGACAACUAAAAACAAAGACUUUGGAUUUUAGGUGAACAGUGCUAUAAGCGUCAUGACACAAGAUUUAAAUUUUGCUAUCUGCUCCACUUCAUUACUUGAGUGCCAUUGAGCAACUAAAUUGAAUUUCUCUGUUACAACCAUGAUUGUGCAAUACUGAUCGASUGAACUUUACGUCUGAAUAGUUUCUACUUUGCGUCCCAGCUGACWUGACACUUGCACCACAACUUAAAGAAUUUACUGUUUUACGUUACAAACACUCAGCUGCCCUUCUGAGCUGAAGAGCACUCGGCUUGACGAUCCCAUGACCCCUCCAGAGGCUUCACCAGAUAACAUUACAUCAACAGGUCACAGGAUGGAUCACAGGAUGAACGAACCAUGAGGGUUUGUUGGUUGUUGACCACCAUCUGUCCCCGUGUUUGUUCUCCCAUCACUCACUAGGAUAAGAGACUAAUCUGCUGUAGUAGACCUAUUCUUAGUCUGACGGCACCUCACACAUGUUGGGAAACUGAAGAAACUGCAACUAUGGAUGAGUGACAAAUUACAGGAAAAGCAGGAUGUGAGACAACAUAUGGAGGAAGCCCCUGGGAACGCAGGGAGCUGGAGGAGUGCGGAGCUUCAGAGCAAAGACGUAUAAAACAGGAGGAAGCCUGCAGAGCUGCAUUACUGAACUAAARAUCAGGGGACCGAUGAUCAUCCUCAGUUCAGGGCUGGACUGUAAUCAAACCAAGUCAGCGUGACGGGUGCAUGACGCUCCCAGUUACGACUGUCUAGGGGUG